AGCUUUGCGCAGAGGUGAUAUCGUUACUAAUGAGGUUCUGACCGAAGUGCAAUUAUUGCUAGUUGAAAGUUUACUAUAAACAGCCAGGUACUAUAUGUUGGAAUUUCCAUACUGUUUGCUGCAUAGAGGAUAAGUUUUCCUGGAG